ACACUCCUACGGGAGGCAGCAGUGAGGAAUAUUGGACAAUGGGUGGAAGCCUGAUCCAGCCAUCCCGCGUGCAGGAAGACGGCCCUAUGGGUUGUAAACUGCUUUUAUCUGGGGAUAAACCUACUUACGUGUAAGUAGCUGAAGGUACCAGAAGAAUAAGCACCGGCUAACUCCGUGCCAGCAGCCGCGGUAAUACGGAGGGUGCAAGCGUUAUCCGGAUUUAUUGGGUUUAAAGGGUCCGUAGGCGGACUGAUAAGUCAGUGGUGAAAUCCGACAGCUUAACUGUCGAACUGCCAUUGAUACUGUUAGUCUUGAGUAAGGUUGAAGUGGCUGGAAUAAGUAGUGUAGCGGUGAAAUGCAUAGAUAUUACUUAGAACACCAAUUGCGAAGGCAGGUCACUAAGUCUUAACUGACGCUGAUGGACGAAAGCGUGGGGAGCGAACAGGAUUAGAAACCCCGGUAGUCCCA
rnacentral:rRNA from 1 species